rnacentral:lncRNA from 1 species
UUGUUUACGCUAAGUUUAUGUGUAAUUUGAGUUUGGUGUUAUGUAGAUGUGGGGUUAUAUUGGUUGUAAAGACUCCGAUUAGCUCUGAUUAGUCGUCAAUUAUUCACUAAUCGGAGGUUCACCAAUUAUUGUUUGAUUAAUCGCUAGGCGGUCAAUGAUUGUCCUAUUAUGGCCAAAUUUUGGCUAGAUGUCGGCCAAAUU